GCGUGUGUGUGCGUGUGUUUGUGUGUGUGUGGUGUUUGCGCUGAUCCAACAGGCCUUCGUCCUGGUAUGUCAAAUCCUUGAAUCCUUGGAUGGAGUAAAGAGAAGGAGACUGUAGGGUGUGCGUGUUUAUGUGUGUGUAUUCUAUGUACUGUAUGUGUGUGCUGAAGCCAAGGCGGAUGUUUUCUGAGCUCAGCAGCCGUGUCGGAGUGAGGACACGGAGAGAGAGGGAGAGACUACCAAACAGAAAUCCUGCAACAGCGAAAGAAGAGCAGCCUACGCAAAGAACAAUUACCGCAGCGACCUGUCUUGGCUUCUUCGUAAUAGAUCCUGGAGCUCCUUUGAGCUAAUUCACACGAGGACGGGUAGCAGAGGCUCCGUGGUUGGAGAUGAACUCCACGGACAUCAAAGCCGCUUCUACAGCAGCGCCACAAGGAGAGUUUAGAGUCUGGAGUAAUUAAUGCUGGCACACAGAGACGUCUCUGUCCAAAGCUGCUGGGAGAGAACAGGGGCUUUGGUGGAAAUACAUAUCCCACCUGUGGGGUGGUGCGGUGAUUAGUGCUAUCACCUCACAGCAAGAAGUUCCCCGCUUCAGACCUCGGCUUCAGCACAGCGCUUCAAUCAAAACAGGAUGCAAAACAGAAGCCAUUUUCCCAUUGUGUGGACGUUCCAGGAUGGCAGGAGAUCUCCAUGAAUAUGACCUGAAAUUGCGCGCCGCUGGCCAGUGAGUCUCCUGGUGAGAGCUGACCUUUCUCCUGAAGGAGAGACGGAGCGAGAGGCGGCAAAUGAAGCGAGAGGAGGAGUGAUGGGGCUAAAUGAGUGAAUGAUAAUUCACUGGGAUCGACAGAUAAUUGUAGGAGAGAGAUGCAUGAUGUCGGGAUGGGCGGUGAAGUGAAUGAGAGACGUGGUAAUGUGUUUGCGUGUGUUGAGCAUCACACUUGGUAAAAUUUGAAGAAAAGGAGGAGUGUGUGUGUGUGGAGGGGGGCUGCCAUAUGCUCAUUGUAAAGUGUGUGUGUGUGUGGGGUGAACUGAUGGCAAAUAGAGAUAUUUGGAGCGUUUGUCUUGGCAUCACACUGGGAGAGGCUGUCUGCUUCUGUGCAUUAUGACAUCAAUGGUUUACCCUCAAAAAAAUUACACACACACACGCGCACUAAAGCACAACAGUGAGUACAGCUGGUUAAUACACAGUUGCUGCUUGGCUACACCCAAAGCAUGCAUUUACAUGAAAAUGCACACAUGAUUGCAAGCUGCAGGUGUAUGGCACUUAGAAACGCACACACACACACUUCUUGCUGCAGUCCUCGGUAUACACGCAAAUUUACACACAUCGUCAAAUGCAAACGCACUCAAGUGGAGCGAAAAGAAAACCUGUUAACACUCUCAGAGGGAAACGUGCUAGACGCUGAAGUACUUGGGAACAAAUUGUAGAGUGGUUACACAGAACUAUGCAUGUUUAAAAUUCUGUGCGGGAGAUUUUAAGCUGAAUGCAUACUGACCCGCUGGGACUUAAAAACGGGGAGCGAAAGAGGAAGAAGGAUCCUCAGAGUGAUAAAAACCAAAAGCUGGAGAUGGUUUAGCGAUAUAAAAAAUAUAUUUUUACAGCAAAUUAACAAUAUCUGGAACUUAGCUUUGAGAAGUAAGUGAAAUAACACAAGACCAGAGAGGAGGACUCUAUUGAGUUCACCCCAUGGUUCUUUGAAAACCAACUUACUGGUCCUGAGAUGCUAUUUUCUGUCUUUAAAACCGUUACCUUUAUUAGUUAAGCUAAAAAAAUGGGGGAAAUGAGCCUCAAAAGAUCAAAUCUCUAACUGUUCUCUUCAUAAAGUUUUGCAGAUGUAUCUAUUUUACCCGUUUCAUCUGA